CUUACGACGAUGCAAAACCCCUUCGCAAGUUCAGCAGCACGGACUCCCUCGAGUAACGGUUACCUAGUAACGUCGGUUGAGCGUUUCGGUAACGCUCUUGAUAAACAAAACUCCCCGUACGCUUCUCUACUCGAGCCUCGCUCCCAAUGCCAAUCCAUUGGAUCAUAAAGCAGGCGGUGGUGGUGGCUUGGCCUUCGGUCGACAGCCGUAUCGGCUUGGGAACUACGAACCGGCAUGGAGCAACUCCGAUACAAAUCCUGCGCCUGUCCGCACAGCCUCGUCUUCGUCGGCCAACGCUUCCUAGCCUCUUCUCAGCUCAGCGAACCUUACCUCCUCCUUUGGCUACGGUCUCUACCGGUCCGGGUACAAGCUUUCCAGCGGAAACGAGUAAGGCUCUCUCUGCUAACUGUGAAGGCACAUACAUUCUUGGUGGCGAUAUAUAGAUGUGGGAGAUUGCAAGUGGUAGGCAGCUUAGAAAAUGGCAUGCUCGCUACAGAUCUGUUACUUGCUUGGUAUUUUCUGAUGAUGAUUCGCUGCUAAUUUAUGGUUUAGAAGAAGGAUCGGUUAGAGUUUUAUCUCUUCACAUUCACUUCUCGUUCUUUUCUUGUUCUCUUCUAGUUCCUAUUAUAUUGGUUGAGUUUUUUUAUUGCGUAGAAGCUUGUUUAAUGCUUCAGUAUAUUCAAUGAUAGUAGACAGCAAGAAGCUAAUAAUCUAUACGAGCAAAAUUUUUCGGAGCACAGCAAUGCCAUUAUAGUAUCAGCUUAUGAGGAUCAAACCUGUAAGGUUUGACGUUCUCAUCAUAAAUUAUAGUUUAUAAUUUCCAUUUCUUUUGAAUUAUGAGUGAUGCGGUUUAUAGCUUAGGAAAUUAAAAUAGAAAGGAACAUUUCAUGUGAGUUUCAGCCUCACCAAUGUUACGAAUCAAGCAUUUAGUAAUAGUGGGUCAUAGUUUUUGCGAGCUAUUUAUUUACAGAAGUAGGGCUAUUUUGGUGAUUUUUGAGAUUUCUUGUUGCUACACAAGUAAAUUCCUGAAUGACUCUCACCUGCUUUUUUAUUUGACGGGGAAGGGGGCUUCAACGUGCUCUCACCCUGAGAAAUUGGAUUCAGAGCACAUUCAUCAUUCACCUACUGAUUGUCAAUAUCAUUCACUUUUCCACCUCUUAGGUGGCAUUGACAUAAACCUGGGUUGCAUUCAUCAGAUUACUCAUAUCCAUUGGGGGCUGUACCAAUGCAUCCGAUUGGAUUGUAUCCCUGUGAAAUUGUACUUACAAAAGAGUCAAAGUAUUGUGAAAAUAUGAAGUAAAUUAGUUUCUAAGAAAAAUUAUGCACAAUUUUCGUGAUAGCAUAGCAUCACCAUUUUUUGAAAAGCAUUUGAAUGUGUCUUACGUGAUGGUUUCUCAUAUGGAAAAGGUCCUACAAAAUGUAGGUCCUCCCUAGUUUCUGAUAAAAGUUUUCUUUUAUUUAUUAAUUGGUUAGGCAAAACAUGUCAUGAACCUAACCUAACCUAACCAAGGACAAGCCCUGGAAUAUAACUCACGACAAUCAUUACUGCAUAAUUACUCUUUUCCCAACUAUAUGGUUGCACACUACUUAGAAAGGACUGUUGUGUCAAAUAUUUGGAAUACCUACAUGUUUCAUAUCAAUUAUGCAUUUUAACAACUUAAAGAAAGAUUUUUGCAGGACAAGAAGAAGGGACCUUUUAUGCUCUGUCCAGGUUCAGUUCAGGCAACUAUGAAGACUGCUGUGUUUCUAUGCUAAUUUAAUCUUGUGUGUCUUUGAUUUAUGAAUCCCCUGAACAAUAUGGUUUUCUAGGUGGCCAAGAUUGAGGCCGUGCUGGCAUGCAUGGUAGUUGUGAAAAAAUCAAUGCCAGCUCAUAUAACACCCAUGCCCAACAUCAAGCCUAAGCUAAUCGCAGGUUUUAUAAAAAUUUUCUUUUUGGGUUAAUAUGUAUGAAAAGUUCAUGGUAUUUAACGAGUAAGUUUGGAGUAGGUUGCAGGCCCAAAAUUUAUUUUGACAGAAUAUGUAUUCUUAUUGGACUUGAUAAUUAGGUUAAAAUCAUUUGAUAUUUUUUUGAAUCAGGUGGAAUCUUUUUAUUUAGUUAUGGGCCUGAAAAAUUUAUGGGACGAGGUUGGUUAUUCUAGAAUUGAGUCGAGGCCCAUUAAUAUUUAUUAAAUACUUGACUCAGAAAAUUACGGACAAUCCAAAGAGAUUUUUGGACUGUUUUAACCGGCCCAAUUUAUUAAUUCUAUACAAUAUCCAAGACGUGGGCCCAAGUACUUUGAAAUGGGCCCAAAAAGCCGAAGCCCAUGAUUACCAAGGAUCGCUCUCCAUGCCAUGCACAGCUCCAUGCCAUGCACGUCUCCUCUUUCACUAGGGUUUUCAGCAACCAAUAUAUAUACACAUUACGCACUUUACGCACAGACCCUCUUCACGCCUAAAUCAUCUUUCCCAAGCUAGGGUUGCCGCAGAAGCCCAUCCUUCUUUCUCAACCCCACAUUCACCACCCCAAUUGUGCCCAACAACCCUCACCCAACACCAAACGAUAACCACUGUACAUAGCCCCAGCCGAUGCACGGAAGCCCUUGCAGGCACCAAAAUCCCUAAAGUCCACAUCCAGGAAACAACUGUAGCCACGUUAACCACCUAUAGCCCCCUUUUCCUCAGCCCCUGUUGCAUGGAGCAGCAACCACUCAAGGAGGGCAAGCCGCUGCACCGUGAGAGGAACCCACUGCCACCGUCCGUCCUCCACAGUAUAACCUCCACACUGUCAGUCCUCCUUCCACAUAAAACCGAUGCCACAGCUUGGCCAUGAGCCAUCCAGUUGCACCACCAGCUUGCCUGCUGUUGCAUCACCAUGGGAUAACCUCACUGCCAAAGCCCUACCAUGCGCCACCAUCCCCCUCUCACAAAAAGCCGCAGCAAAAGCACCACGUGAGACACUGAGCACAAACAACCACUGCUCCUGCAAGAUGAAAGCUGCCAGGGCCACUGACUCAAGCCUCUGCCUUACACCGCUGUAGACUCACGCCACCCUAGCACCACCCAACACCAACCCGCAAGCCUCCACUCACGACCUACAUCCCAACACUCCUCAUCUGUUCUAACCACCCGAAACAGGGCACCUUAUUCUCUCCUCCUUCCAUGGUUUCGUGUUUUACCAACGCCCCACUUAGCCAUAGUGACCAUCCCUCCCACGCUCAGCCUCUUCAAACUGAAAGCCACACCCAGUUCAGUCGCUUCCUUGCACCAUGACAGCACCAGCAACUCCUCUCUGCUCCUUUUGCCAUCAAAUAUCUCUCCCUCACGUUAUUCUCUCUCCCUCCUAAUUCUCUCUAGCCAACGCCUAGUGCCCAUGCAGUCUUUAACCACCGUGAGCCACCAUCACACCCACACCCCCAGUCACUGAUCAUCAUCACCGGAAGCACACGACCAAAGCUCCACUGCCCUCGGUAAGGCUGCUACCCUCCCUUUUAUAAUGUAAACUUAUACGUGAAACAACCAGUAAUGUGUUUUGGGAAAGAUUUACAAAAAUACCCCUUCCCAAGUUAGAUGGUACAGUUUGGGUGGAGAAUAUUUUAGAGUUUAAUUGAUUAGUGGGAGAAGAUAAGUGGAUAUCAAUUAAGUGGGGAGUGACGAUAUUUUAAGGUUCCGAGGAUAUUUAGACAUUAAGGAAUAUAGAUUUUUUUUAUCUCAAGUUUUAAUCAAGAAGUAUGUGUUCAAUUGAAAAUUUAUGCAAGUUGCGUGACUAUUUUAUAGGUGAUGAAUGAUGUAUACUCGGCACCAUUUUGGUGACAGAGUAAUUUAUGUUUUGCUUGGCUAUCCGCAGAUGCACAAUCCUACCACGGGGGUUAAACGUGGACUCUGUUAUGAUAUGAUGCUUUGAUAUGAUGAUGAUGAUGAUGUUUAGUUAAUGUUUGCUAAAGGAUACUUUUGAAUAAAAAUAUUUUUGAAUUUUCGCUCUGAUAUUUUUGAGAACAUGUUAUGAUUUUGCAUUCUGAAACUAAAAAUGUUUUGUUCUGCAUUUUGAACUCUGUAAAUGCUCAUAUUUACAUAUUAGUAUAUGUUCUUUGCUUGUUGAGUUGUUGAUAACUCACCCCUUAUCUCUACAAUAUUUUCCAAAUAAGUAUGAUGGUUAAGCUGGAAAUCAAAAGUAGGAAGUAUUAGCAAGAUUUGAUGAUCGUAGAGGAAUAAGUGCCAAAGGGUACAAGUAAUUGUUAGAGAGUCCUAUUUAUUAGAUAUAUUAUUUUCUAUUAUUUUGGGUAUUUUGAGACAUGGAUGUUUUUGAGUCUUUGUGGAGAUUUUAAUUUGUUGUGUUUAGGUAUUUUUUAGGAACAUAUAUAUUUGUGUAAACAAAUAAAUUUGUAUUUUAUGGAGUCUUUGGAGUAUAUAUAAGUGUGUUAUGAGAUAUGAUUUUAGGUAACAAGAGCUAACUCCCUGGACCUCCAGGAUUAGGGCAUUACAGCUCAUGCUUCUAUAAGUGUUUUUCGUAGUUGUACCUAUCAAAAAAAAAAAAAAAAAAGUGUUUUUCAUAGUUGUGGUGGAACUGGUACUUUUCAUUGCCAGAUUAUGUGAUAAUGUUUAAUAGAAUUCUUUAGAAGUUUUGAGCCAUAUUACAAUGGCCAAGAAAAAGUAAACUGGGAAGGGUUUGGUGCAGUGAGGAAUGGAUAGUUUGGCAAAUUUCUAUAUGGCGGUGAAGUUCAGUUCUCAAUAAUUUUUCUAGUCGUGGUAGAUUAAUUUCAUUCUUGUGACUCAUCUUGUUAUGUGCGACCAAUUUUUAUGUUUCAUCACUUUUUAUGCAGUGCUCUUCUGCCAUCUCCUUAUUAAAGAAGCAUUACAUAGGAUCACAUAGAGUGUCAAUGGAAUUGUUUGGAUGGAAGUAGGGAUGGCACGAUAUGCAUUGCUGCAGCUAAUGCUGAAAGCACCACUAAGGACAGUAUGGGUUGCAUAUCAUAAAAUCACUAACGAAUCAUAGGCAGGUUGGUCUCUUUUAUUUUCUCAGAUUGCAAGAAGGUGCAUAUUUUGUAAUAAGAGCUGUCCCUGGUUUUGAUCAUGGUGCUUUCUUUGCUAAGUUCUCCAAAUGCAUGUUUGUUGCAUUUUUCAUGAUAAUUUUGUGCUGGUAGUAGGGAAGGCAAGAUAUACAAUGCUGCACUUAAUGUUGAAAGCACCUCUAAGGACAUUAUGGGUUGCAUAUCAUAAAAUCACUACCGAAUCGACUCUUUUGUUAUCUCACGCUGCGAGAAGGUACAUAUUUUUUAGUAAGUCUGGUUUUCAUCAUGGGGCUUUCUUUCCUAUUCAUCAAAUAUAUGUUUUUUUUUUUUUUUUUUCAUGAUAAUUUAUGUGAUGUAACCUUAUUUCCGCCUGCACUGGGAAAAUACUCAAGUCCAAGGGAUGAAGAUAUAGACCUUAAGAGUAUCAUUGGUUUCCACUCUAGUUGCAGAAAUCAGUUGAUGCUUCAUACUUAAGUUCUCACAUGGUCGAUAAUCAAAUCAAAGAACUUUGGGUUUUCUAGUGUAUGUUUUUGAUCCACAUCAUUUUCAUUUGUGUUUCUGUGUAGGUUGUACAAGGAUCAUUUCUUUUGUAUGGUUGUACUUGUAUAUUUCACCAUUUUACUUAUUGAAAAAAAUUCGUUAACUCUGCCUGAGACUUGGCUGUUCCCUUUUCCCUAACAGGUGCAAGUUUAGAGAUACCAUUAGUAUAUGGUACUUCUGAUAAUAAGGAUAUAUUUUUUUGUUACUUC